rnacentral:sRNA from 1 species
GCGAAGCGAGAGAACGUUGCGCCAGCAACGGCCCGCAGGGCGAGCCACGAAGUGGCGAGUAAUCCUCUAUCACCGACCA